rnacentral:tRNA from 1 species
AAUGGAUUAACUCCUCUUUAGA